rnacentral:misc_RNA from 1 species
UACGUAGGUGGCAAGCGUUGUCCGGAUUUAUUGGGCGUAAAGCGAGCGCAGGCGGUUCUUUAAGUCUGAUGUGAAAGCCCCCGGCUCAACCGGGGAGGGUCAUUGGAAACUGGGGAACUUGAGUGCAGCAGAGGAGAGUGGAAUUCCAUGUGUAGCGGAGAAGUUCGUAGAUAUGUGGAGGAACACCAGUGGCGAAGGCGGCUCUCUGGUCUGUAACUGACGCUGAGGCGCGAAAGCGUGGGGAGCGAACAGG